rnacentral:rRNA from 1 species
AGGGCACCACCAGGAGUGGAGCCUGCGGCUUAAUUUGACUCAACACGGGAAAACUCACCCGGCCCGGACACUGGAAGGAUUGACAGAUUGAGAGCUCUUUCUUGAUUCAGUGGGUGGUGGUGCAUGGCCGUUCUUAGUUGGUGGAGUGAUUUGUCUGGUUAAUUCCGAUAACGAACGAGACUCUAGCCUAUUAAAUAGAUCGUUGGCUUACAAACGCCGGCGAGACUUCUUAGAGGGACAGGCGGCGAUUCAGCCGCACGAAACAGAGCUAUUUUUUGGUCUGUGAUGCCCUUAGAUGUCCGGGGCCGCACGCGCGCUACACUGAAGUGAUCAGCGUGCAUUUUGAAACCUACUCUGUCAAGAGUGGGGAACCCAAUGAACCUUCUUCGUGAUUGGGAUAGGGGAUUGUAAUUAUUCCCCUUGAACGAGGAAUUCCCAGUAAGCGCGAAUCAUAAGUUUGCGCUGAUUACGUCCCUGCCCUUUGUACACACCGCCCGUCGCUACUACCGAUUGAAUGUU